UAUUUUUACAACUAUUUCAAAGAUGCUUAAAGGGCUGAUAAUUUUUGGUACCGGAGUUUACACCGGUGUUUAUGUAGCACAAAAUUAUCAGGAUGCUGUUCGACUUAUUUGUAAAAGAACAUCUCAGGAAUGUGACAAAACAUUGGACAAAAAGAAAUGAUAGAAAAAGUUGAAGAUCCGAUGUCAUUAUUUGAAAAAGCACAAGCUUAUUUAAAGGCUAAAAUGGCAGAGUUAAAU